GCCCACGUUUAGGGGUGCUUCGUCCGUAUGCGACGAGGCUGAGAUCAUACCCAUUGAACCUGAUGCGGCUAAUACCGACGAAGGGAACAAACGGUCCGCGAACGA
rnacentral:ncRNA from 2 species